rnacentral:tRNA from 1 species
UGUGGCUCAAGUAUUAGAGCACCUGCCUAGCGAGCACAAGACCCUGGGUUCAAAUCCCAGCA